UGUCUCGCAGCAGUUUUUGCAGAUUCGUGUUCAAACUUCAAACAGGCAUAACUUUGUCGUUAUAAAUCGAAACGAGGCUUAUAGUAUAUCGAAAUCUAUGUACUGAAAGUGUACUUUCCAACGGUGGUAGUCUGGUAAGCUAAUUUCAAUCGAGUAAAAAGAUAUGGCCAAAAUAAGACAGGCUGGUUGUGGUUGUUAUUCUUGUUUUGAGAGUUUUGUUGCGUUGGGCUGUUUGGUUGAGAUUGUACACUUAUGGGUCUUUAUAUUUGAUAUAUUUGGGUGUGUUGGAGUACCUUGGGGUAUGGAAAAGAUGUGUGAGGUCUCCCGAGUACGUGGGUACUCCCGGACACCUCUGGAGAUUUUGGUGACUUUAUGUAAUGUUUGCCCCAUGAGCUAGUGUAGAAGUGUAGAAGGCAUGUUAUGAUUUGUUAGUCUAGCAUUUGGUUUAACAUUCCUAGAUGUUCAUAUGCUAAUAUGGGUUAACUUGUGGCUAGGUAACGAGCCGGUCUUUUAGGAGGUGCCGAAACCGUAAGUUUGGCAUACUCCAGUCGAAUGAAAGGUGAGUGUGUCUGAUAUGGUUCUUCUCAAUAAGAUAUUGCGAUGGUGGUAGCAGGUGGCUUAGAGUGGGUCCACUACUGGUCAACGCUUUGGAGAGUGCUGGGACUAGUCUCGGGUGAUGUCGUUGGUUAGAUUGUUGUGUAGCUGAUUCGUCUAGAAGUUAACCUAAAUGUCUGUAAUUAAUUGGAGAGAGGGAUAUUUUUAUAACUUGUGAGUUGAGGUUUUGGCGUUGACUUGGUUGUAUUUUAAGUGAGAAGUCUUCCGCUAA